rnacentral:rRNA from 1 species
UAUUCCCCACUGCUGCCUCCCGUAGGAGUUUGGGCCGUGUCUCAGUCCCAAUGUGGCCGGUCGCCCUCUCAGGCCGGCUACGGAUCAUCGUCUUGGUGGGCCGUUACCUCACCAACUAACUAAUCCGACGCGGGUCCAUCUUUCACCACCGGAGUUUUCCUCCCUGUGCCAUGCGGCACCGUGAGCAUAUGCGGUAUUAACAGCCGUUUCCAGCUGGUAUCCCCCGGUGAAAGGCAGGUUCCCCACGCGUUCCUCACCCAUCCGCCGCUCUGAAUAAACUUCCUUGGCCGAAACCUUGUCGGUUUAUUCAUCGCUCGACUUGCAUGUGUUAGGCACGCCGCCAGCGUUCAUCCUGAGCCAA